AACCAGGAAGGAGAAGCUGAUGCAGCAGACACGUUGGCCAGUUAAUUAAGUCCCCGUCAUUGACUAUGUGGGCGAAAACGGUAAAUCCAGGCCAUCGUGAUUACAACAAUUAUGAGUCCUUCUCCCACCUUAUGUUGGAGCCACACUGUGAUUAAGACAAGACUAUUCAACAAAGAAGUCUCGCUUGUAUAAAUUGUGUCUACAAAAACAUUUAACAUCACAGUAGGUAACUCUGACUCCCAAGAGCUACAGGAUCCAGAAUUGACACUACUUCUCAACUAUUGGAUCAUCAGUAUCAGAAUAACUAUUAUUAUUAACUGGUGCUGCUAUCAUUAAUAAGACCAUUUCAUCUAAAAGAAUUACUAUCAUUAUUGCCAUUAUGACAAUCUGGCGGUGCUUGAAGACAUCAGUUACACAACUGUUCCUGGUCUCCCUCUCUCUCUCUUCUAACGUAACCUUUGGCAAAUUCGCAAUUGUGGAAUA